GUUAUGUUGUUGUAGAGGAAACGCACCCCACUGUGUUUAUGAUUACAAUAAUGAGUUAAAAUAAUAUGAUGAUGACAAGUUUGCACUAUCAAGCAGCAUAACGGACUUGGAAGCAGAUGAGACCGUCACCGGAAGCCUCGACACAAUCAAAUUACAAUGGAUGUUUAUGGAAUGGAAAGUGCAGCUCUGCUCUCAAAGUGAAUUGAAGUCUUCUCCGUACGCUGUUCACCUGAAUAAAAUGAUAUGGAGUUUCAGACUGAUGAUGACAGCUUGGACAGGUAGUCCUCGAGGACGAUUUACAGAACAAUGCAAUUUUGGAUUGGUUGGUGCGAAGUGGUGUUGGAGGAGGUGAGGGACACCGGAAGAACUGUAAUGAGGACCCUCCGUGAACCUCCACUGGUAUGAACAGAGAGGCCUAAAUGGCUUGAGGAAGGAGGGAAUUUCUCCAGAGAAAUGUGCUUUUUCCAGAGCAGUCCACUGAGAUGGAAGAUGUGGGUGGAUGGCUGGCCAGCACUACGACUGUUUGAUGUGGGAGGUCUUAACUUCACCCCGCUGGGUCGGACCCCAAGACUUCUCAUUAACCGUGUCAUCAAAGGCCCCGGCCCAAGUAAUCAUAACAUUAGCGUUGACAUUACCACACAGCUACAAGCUUCUUUCGAGCGCUCCACAAACAUGCCUGCGCCGGCUGAGUCAUUCCUCCGCAGCGAGGGAGCUUGGGCUGAAGCAAACUACGCUAGCCUGUACCCUGCACGCUUCAGCGAGAAUACAAACACUGACAUGACUGUGGACAAGCACGUAGCACCGUUUUCUCAAAGCGCUAAGGUAGGCGAGUACCUCUCUUUGCACUGCCCUUAAUUAAAGCAACAGUCAUUGCGAAAAGGCCCUCGGCGAGAUCAGCUGUCAGGACUGCUCGGACAGCUCUGGGCUCCUCACCUCCACCUCC